CUCACAGAGUGUUUGGAUCAUUUGUAGAGUCAGAACAGACGCAGCUUCACCUCAGACCAGCGGCUCAGAAAGCAGCAGAAAAUGGGAAAAACAUACAUGGUGGUGCGGCUGCUCUUCAUCUUCUUCAAUGCGCUGUUCGCAAUUGCUGGAUGUGUGUUGCUGGGUCUGACGGUGAAAGUCACCGUUGAUCUCUACAGGGCUCCGGCCGUCGCUGGCUUUCCUCCGCUGGUGUUGGCGUGGUUGUUGUCCUUCGCCGUCAUUGGUGUUUCUGUGCUGGGAAUAUACGGCGCCGUCAAAGAGAAGAGGAUCCCACUUAUCGUCUUUGCUGUUUUCAUGGGAAUUGCAGCCGUCGUCAUGGUAGCGUUUGGUUUUCAAGGCGUGGCUACCAUAAACCAGGUUAAGUCACUCUUCAGACACAAUUCACCUGAACAUUUGGCCACUAUAGAGUCCGUUAGUAGCAUCGUCUUGGGAUUCUACUUCGGAACCGCUGCAGUCGCUCUGCUGGGAAUGUUGAUGUCCAUCCUCAUGGUUCAUCAGAUCAAACGUAAAGAGCGCUCGGCGGAUGGGUUUGUCCCCAUGAGGACGUCUAACGGAGACACUCAUCUGGUGGACGUCAACUACUGAGCUCAGCAUUUAACCACGUUUGCUCGCCCACGUUUAUAUUCACAAUCAGCUUUCUGUGUCGUUCAUGGGAACAAGGAAAUAUAAACUGCAUGAGAAAUGUUUGUAUUUUAUGUUUUAGCCUGUUACAUGUCAGUCAUUUCAGAAUAAAAGGACAUUUAACGCAACGUCA
ensembl:lncRNA